AACAUCGCGCACCUGCGGGAACCUGCGGAAGGAUCAUUACAGAGUUGCAAAACUCCCUAAACCAUUGUGAACGUUACCUAAACCGUUGCUUCGGCGGGCGGCCCGGGUCCUUCCCGGCGCCCAUCGGCCCUCGCGGGCGCCCGCCGGAGGUAAACCAAACUAUUGCAUUGUAUGGCCUCUCUGAGUCUUCUGUACUGAAUAAGUCAAAACUUUCAGCAACGGAUCUCAGAUCGGAAGAGC
rnacentral:misc_RNA from 1 species